AACGUCUUCCCACCUUUUUCUCCCCUCUCCGUCUUCUCCCCUCCUUCUUCCCCACUGCGGUCUUCCCGCAUCCUCUUCUGCCGUCUCCCUACUGUCUUCUUCCCGCACCUUCUUCUCCCCCGCAGUUUUUUUUUCCCCUUCCCCACCGUUUUCUUCCCCUCAGUCUCUCCCAUUCCUCGCAGCACGGGUUCCUGUGGCGGCAGCUUUUCCUUCCAUCUCCUUCUCUCCACCCGCUGGCUUCCAGUCUCCACCUUCCCGCCUAUUCCCCCAGCAGCGUCUUCCCGCCGCUCCCUCUUCUCCCCUCCCCCUCCUCACCGUCUUCUCCCGGCCUAUUACCGCCAACCGUUUUCUUCCUCAUCCCGCACCCUUUUCUUCCCAUGUCUGCCUUAGUCUUCUUCCCACCCUCUUCUCCUCUCCCCAUCGCCUUCUUCCCACCCUCUUCUCCUCUCCCCAUCGCCUUCUUCCCACCCUCUUCUCCUCUCCCAAUCGUCUUCUUUCCCAGCCUCUUCUCCAUUUUCUUGCCGCCUCCAUAUCCCCACCUUCUUCUCGCAGCAGCGUCUUCCUGCCGCGCUUUUCUCUCCCCUCACCAUCUUCUCUUCCUCUUCCCCACCGUCCUCUCCCCACGCCCUCUUCUCCUCACUGUCUUCUCCCCGCGCCUUCCCCACAACCGUUUUCUCCCCCGUUUUCUUCCCCUCACACCGUUUUCUUCCCAUGUCCUCCCACCGUCUCGCAGCAGCGUCUGUCAGUCGCAAUCUUCUUCCCACUUUCUUCUCUCCCCCUCCCAUCGUCUUUUUUCCCCAGCCUCUUAUUCUCCGCCAUCUUCUUCCCCUCCCCACCUUCUCGCAGCAGCGACUUCCUGCCGCGUUUUUCUCUCCCCGCACCCUCUUCUCCCCUCUUCCACUCCCCACCGUCUUCGCCCCCGAUCGUCUUCUUGCCCACCCCCUUCUCGCGCUCUCCAACUGCCUUUCACCUAGAAGCGCUCCACGCGUGCGCCCGCCUGUGUCCCUGCGCCUGGUGUGUCUGUGCGCCCAGCCAGCCCCAUGAGCUGGGCCCCUGAGCUCCGCCCCAACAGCCAACAGGAGACCCAGGAGAGUCGCUGCCAGGGCCAUCACGGCUGCCGCCGCCCCCGCCCCCGCCGCUACCUCAGAACUGAACAGUGUUGGCUGCGGGCGAAAGGCAGUGGGGCCCGGAAGACUGCGGGGAGAGGGGGAGGAGGGGACGGAGAGGGUGGGAAAGACCUUGGAAAGUGGGAUGGGGAGAAAGGUGGGGAAGAAGACAGUGGGGAGAAAGUGCAGGGAGAAGACAGUGUGGUAGAGAAGACAGUGGAGGAAAACGGUGAGGAGAAAGGAGGGUGGAAAAGAAGACGAUGAGGACAAGGCCGGGCGCGGUGGCUCACGCCUGUAAUCCCAGCACUUUGGGAGGCUGAUGCGGGCGGAUCACAAGGUCAGGAGUUCGAGACCUGCCUGACCAACAUGCUGAAACCCAGUCUCUACUAAAAAUACAAAAAUUAGCUGGGCGUGAUGGCGAGCGCCUGUAAUCCAGCUACUCCAGCGCCUGAGGCAGGAGAAUCGCUUGAACCCCGGAGGCGGAGGUUGCAGUGAGCUGAGAACUCACCAUUGCACUCCAGCCUGGAUGACAGAGAAGGUCAUGGGAACAUACAGAGACCUACAGGGAAGACGGCCAUGGGACAAGGGAGGCAGAGUCUGGAGUUACGCUGCCUACAGUCACGGAAUGCCAAGGACAGCUGGAAACCACCAGAAGCUAAGAAGGAGAUUUUACCUGAAAGCCUCUCAAAGAAAUCAAUCAUACUCACACCUCCUUUUUGAAUUUCUGGCCUCGUGAAUGGUGAAAAAAUAAAUUUCUGUCGUCUUAAGCCCCA
rnacentral:lncRNA from 1 species